rnacentral:rRNA from 1 species
CUGGCUGUAAACGAUGGGUACUAGGUGUAGGAGGUUUCGAUACCUUCUGUGCCGGAGUUAACGCAUUAAGUACCCCGCCUGGGGAGUACGUUCGCAAGAAUGAAACUCAAAGGAAUUGACGGGGGCCCGCACAAGCGGUGGAGCAUGUGGUUUAAUUCGAAGCAACGCGAAGAACCUUACCAGGCCUUGACAUCCCCUGACCGUCAUGGAAACAUGGCUUCUCUUCGGAGCAGGGAGACAGGUGG